rnacentral:rRNA from 1 species
UCUGGGUCACCUCCCACCCGUGUUUAUUGUACCUUGUUGCUUCGGUGCGCCCGCCUCACGGCCGCCGGGGGGCUUCUGUCCCCGGGUCCGCGCGCACCGGAGACACCAUUGAACUCUGUCUGAAGAUUGCAGUCUGAGCAUAAACUAAAUAAGUUAAAACUUUCAACAACGGAUCUCUUGGUUCCGGCAUCGAUGAAGAACGCAGCGAAAUGCGAUAACUAAUGUGAAUUGCAGAAUUCAGUGAAUCAUCGAGUCUUUGAACGCACAUUGCGCCCCCUGGUAUUCCGGGGGGCAUGCCUGUCCGAGCGUCAUUGCUGCCCUCAAGCACGGCUUGUGUGUUGGGCUCCGUCCCCCCGGGGACGGGUCCGAAAGGCAGCGGCGGCACCGAGUCCGGUCCUCGAGCGUAUGGGGCUUUGUCACCCGCUCUGUAGGCCCGGCCGGCGCCAGCCGACAACCAAUCAUCCUUUUUUCAGGUUGACCUCGGAUCAGGUAGGGAUACCCGCUGAACUUAAGCAUAUCAAUAA